UUUGGUGGUCAUAGCACAAGCGAAACACCCGGUCCCAUCCCGAACCCGGAAGUUAAGCCCGCUAGCGCCGAUGGUACUUGGCUGGAGACGGCCUGGGAGAGUAGGUCAUUGCCAAGG
rnacentral:rRNA from 1 species